GAUGAAGAACGUAGCGAAAUGCGAUAAGUAAUGUGAAUUGCAGAAUUUAGUGAAUCAUCGAAUCUUUGAACGCACAUUGCGCCCGCUAGUAUUCUGGCGGGCAUGCCUGUUCGAGCGUCAUUUCAACCAUCAAGCCCUAGGCUUGCGUUGGAGCCCUGCGGCUGCCGCAGGCUCCCAAAUCCAGUGGCGGGCUCGUCGUCGUACCGAGUGCAGUAAACAUCCUCGCUCAGGGAACGUGACGGGUUCUUGCCGUGAAACCCCCCACAUAUCAAGGUUGACCUCGGAUCAGGUAGGAAUACCCGCUGAACUUAAGCAUAUCAAUAAGCGGAGGA
rnacentral:misc_RNA from 1 species